rnacentral:rRNA from 1 species
AAUAGACAUGUGGAGUGAGAUAUCGCGUGGUGUGGCACAUUGUGGACAGGGGGGUGAGAAUCCCGUUAAUGUGUUGACAUAUGUCCCUCAGAGAGCGAGUACCGCGCGGGAAAGAUGAAAAGAACUUUGAAAAGAGAGUUAAACAGUACGUGAAAUUGUUGAAAGGGAAACGAUUGAAGCCAGUCGUACCUUCGGGUAAUCAGCCUUUCGGGUGCGAUUCUGUGGAGUGUGAGGAGCUUAAACACCUUCAUGUUUUGCAUAUUCGUACUCUUGGGUGUACUUGCCCGUGUGGUUGGUUAACAUCAAUUUUGGGGGCCAUAAAAUGACUGGGGGAAUGUAGCUUCGAUCUUGUAUUGAAGUGUUAUAGCCUUCGGUAGAUGUGAUGAUCGAGAUUGAGGAUUGCAACGGAUACCCUUCGGGGCUACCUGUCUGAUCUCUGAUCGUUGCUCUGGUGCCGAAAGCUUGCUUACGGUUAUCAAAGUCGAUGGUCAAUAGGUUAGAACGGGUUAAAUUCGUUAAGGAUGUGACGUAAUUGGAA